UGGACUUGCUCCUGAUGUUACGGCGGACGGGUGAGUACACGUGGGUACCUGCCUGUAAGACUGGGAUAACUCCGGGAAACCGGGGCUAAUACCGGAUGCUUGUUUGAACCGCAUGGUUCAAACAUAAAAGGUGGCUUCGGCUACCACUUACAGAUGGACCCGCGGCGCAUUAGCUAGUUGGUGAGGUAAUGGCUCACCAAGGCAACGAUGCGUAGCCGACCUGAGAGGGUGAUCGGCCACACUGGGACUGAGACACGGCCCAGACUCCUACGGGAGGCAGCAGUAGGGAAUCUUCCGCAAUGGACGAAAGUCUGACGGAGCAACGCCGCGUGAGUGAUGAAGGUUUUCGGAUCGUAAAGCUCUGUUGUUAGGGAAGAACAAGUACCGUUCGAAUAGGGCGGUACCUUGACGGUACCUAACCAGAAAGCCACGGCUAACUA
rnacentral:rRNA from 1 species